rnacentral:tRNA from 1 species
GGGCAGGUGGCGGAACUGGUAGACGCGCAGGUCUCAAACACCUGUGGGAGCAAUCUCAUGAGGGUUCGAUUCCCUCUCUGCCCA